rnacentral:rRNA from 1 species
CAGUCGCCGCGGUAAUACGGAGGGUGCAAGCGUUAAUCGGAAUUACUGGGCGUAAAGCGCACGCAGGCGGUUUGUUUAGUCAGAUGUGAAAUCCCCGAGCUUAACUUGGGAACUGCAUUUGAAACUGGCAAGCUAGAGUCUUGUAGAGGGGGGUAGAAUUCCAGGUGUAGCGGUGAAAUUCGUAGAGAUCUGGAGGAAUACCGGUGGCGAAGGCGGCCCCCUGGACAAAGACUGACGCUCAGGUGCGAAAGCGUGGGGAGCAAACAGGAUUAGAUACCCGGGUAGUCCCUGUCUCUUAUAC